GACUUGCAGGGAGCGGUGGCCUUGGCCAGGAGCGGUCCUGCCGGACUGUAAUUUUAAUUUCCUGCCCAGGCUGUAAUUUUAAUUUCCCUUGGAUGCUUGGCAAAGCCCUUCUGGGGGAGCCCUAGUGCCUGGCAUGAGCGGAGCGGGCUUCCAGGGAGGUAUUCACCUGGUCAGCGUCAGGAACCAUCCUCCCUGAAGCCUCGGCUCCCUCUUUCCCUUCGGUUGCCGUGGAUGUGCCGGACACCUCUGGCAGGACUAACCCUGUGGCUUUUAUGUCCAACGUGCUGUGUGCCUGCAGUAUCCUGUCCAAGACCAAGCUACCUUUCCUCGUUGGAAUGGACUGGCCGGGCUUUGGCAGUCUGGCCCCUCGAAAGACUAAAGUGACCUCUUCCAGCAGGGGAAGACUUUCUGGCAAGCGGUACCAGAAAGAACUGGAGUUUCUGGAGAAUAAAAGCUGGAGGUGUGCCCCCGAUAAUCCU